rnacentral:lncRNA from 1 species
UAGGAAUAAAGUUCUAUAUAUAUCCCAUUAAUAGCAUUCUUUCGUUCAUUCAUUCAUUCAUCGUUUCAAUUCAAUUCAUACCAUAUAAUCAGAAAUUUCCUGCAUCUGUAUUUUUGUAUCGAAAGAGCAACCAUGUUGAGUCUUAAUUUUGAUAUUGCUGAAGUUUACGUACUGAGGAAACUCAACAAAGAGAAGAUCAAUGGACUCCAAAAGAAUACAAGUCAAGAAAAAGCAUUACAAAACAGUGAUCGAUCAUCUGGUUGCUUCUCAGGUCAUGUGUUCAAGAAAGUUCAUCCAACUUCUGUGCCAGAAUCAGAUUCUUAACUCAAUCGAGCUAUAUCUAUAUCUAUAUAUGAGUGUGUGUGAAGGAGAGAGAUGGGGGGGGGGGGGGGGGGAGCUUGGUUUUAUUAGAUUAAUGUAAUUGUUUAUCUUCUCUGGUUCCAUUUGAUGGGAGUUCUGAGGAACUUUAAUGGAUUAAUUCGUUUUUAUUAUGUGAAAUAUAUGUCUGCAAUUUACAGUUAUCCCGUCUGUACUGUCAAUAGAUGAAUGGGAAUUUAUGCAUAUACUUGGCUUCAGUACAAAUUCGAAAUUACAUACAUAUAUAAAUAUAUAUUUAUAUAUUAUGGGUAAUUUCUUUGCCAUAAUUUUGUUGAAUCACGUUACAGUUAUAAGAACAUAGGUCCGGC